AGUGAACGCUGGCGGUAGGCCUAACACAUGCAAGUCGAACGGCAGCACAGUAAGAGCUUGCUCUUACGGGUGGCGAGUGGCGGACGGGUGAGGAAUACAUCGGAAUCUACUUUUUCGUGGGGGAUAACGUAGGGAAACUUACGCUAAUACCUCAUACGACCUACGGGUGAAAGCAGGGGAUCUUCGGACCUUGCGCGAUUGAAUGAGCCGAUGUCGGAUUAGCUAGUUGGCGGGGUAAAGGCCCACCAAGGCGACGAUCCGUAGCUGGUCUGAGAGGAUGAUCAGCCACACUGGAACUGAGACACGGUCCAGACUCCUACGGGAGGCAGAAGUGGGGAAUAUUGGACAAUGGGCGCAAGCCUGAUCCAGCCAUACCGCGUGGGUGAAGAAGGCCUGCGGGUUGUAAAGCCCUUUUGUUGGGGAAGAAAAGCAGCAGGUGAAUACCCCGCUGUUCUGACGGUACCCAAAGAAUAAGCACCGGCUAACUUCGUG
rnacentral:rRNA from 1 species